UACGGGGGGGGCAAGCGUUGUUCGGAAUUACUGGGCGUAAAGGGUUCGUAGGUGGCCUACUAAGUCAGACGUGAAAUCCCUCAGCUUAACUGGGGAACUGCGUCUGAUACUGGGGGGCUUGAGGACAGGAGAGGAACGCGGAAUUCCAGGUGUAGCGGUGAAAUGCGUAGAUAUCUGGAGGAACACCGGUGGCGAAGGCGGCGUUCUGGACUGGCAUUGACGCUGAGGCGCGAAAGCGUGGGGAGCGAACGGG
rnacentral:rRNA from 1 species